GACGAACGCUGGCGGCGUGCCUAACACAUGCAAGUCGAACGGAGAUUUACGUCAACACAAAGCUCUUCACGUAAGAGUAAUGUGGAGGGUUUUGAGUUGAUGUAAAUCUUAGUGGCGAACGGGUGAGUAACGCGUGAGCAACCUACCAAGGAGAGGGGGAUAACACAGAGAAAUCUGUGCUAAUACCGCAUAAAGUCACGAUAUCGCAUGGUAUGGUGAUGAAAGGGCUUUUGCCUGCUUCUUGAUGGGCUCGCGUCUGAUUAGCUAGUUGGUAGGGUAACGGCCUACCAAGGCGAUGAUCAGUAGCCGGGCUGAGAGGUUGACCGGCCACAUUGGGACUGAGACACGGCCCAGACUCCUACGGGAGGCAGCAGUGGGGAAUAUUGCGCAAUGGGGGGAACCCUGACGCAGCGACGCCGCGUGAAGGAAGAAGGUCUUCGGAUUGUAAACUUUUGUCUUUGGUGACGAUAAUGACGGUAGCCAAGGAGGAAGCCACGGCUAACUACGUG
rnacentral:rRNA from 1 species